ACGGAAGGCAGCAGUGGGGAAUAUUGCACAAUGGGGGAAACCCUGAUGCAGCGACGCCGCGUGAGUGAAGAAGUUAUUCGUAAUGUAAAGCUCUAUCAGCAGGGAAGAAAAUGACGGUACCUGGCUAAGAAGCCCCGGCUAACUACGUGCCAGCAGCCGCGGUAAUACGUAGGGGGCAAGCGUUAUCCGGAUUUACUGGGUGUAAAGGGAGCGUAGACGGCUUAGCAAGUCUGAUGUGAAAGGCAGGGGCUCAACUCCUGGACUGCAUUGGAAACUGUUAAGCUGGAGUGCCGGAGAGGUAAGCGGAAUUCCUAGUGUAGCGGUGAAAUGCGUAGAUAUUAGGAGGAACACCAGUGGCGAAGGCGGCUUACUGGACGGUAACUGACGUUGAGGCUCGAAAGCGUGGGGAGCAAACAGGAUUAGAUACCCUGGUA
rnacentral:rRNA from 1 species